GCUAUUAAUUUAUCCCUAAGUAACCAAAACUCGUUGAAGAAAACGGUCGGAUAGUAGUUUCCUGUUGUGGAUUCGAUAUUCAUAUCUAACAAAUCAGGUAAAGGAAUUCAACUGUGGGAAAAUAUCUUUUGCUAACAAGAAGAACAGAUGAAAGAUGCCAACUCACACAGAAUUAAAUAAAAGAACAAAGAGAAGCUAGGAUUUAGCAUGAAAUGCUCCUUUGUUUUUGUCUUUCCUUUCCUGCACUGAGCCGGGGGUCGAUUGGAAACAGCCUCUCUGCUAUUUCGGGUAGGGGUAAGGCUCGUCUACAUAUAGUUUCCUGUUGUGGAUUCGAUAUUCAUAUCUAACAAGUCAGGUAAAGGAAUUCAACUGUGGGAAAAUAUCUUUCGCUAACAAGAACAGAUGAAAAAUGCCAACUCACACAGAAUUAAAUAAAAGACCAAAGAGAAGAUAGGAUUUAGCAUGAAGGUAAUCAUAAACUUGCGUGAAACAAGUUUACCAAUUUCUUCCACAAGUUUAAUCGAGCUGCUUCUUGCGUACUGCAGAAGUAUCUAAUAUUGCAGCUUAUUUAGUGGUACAGUGUGUAAAAGGAACCCACAAGAAGAAUAAAGACACAUAGGCCAUAAAACC
rnacentral:lncRNA from 1 species